GUGAGUUUGAAUGGAGAAAAGGUUAGCACUCCCCAUGACAAACAUGGAAGAGGUCUUAGUGACCAGAGAGAUAGUCCAGACCGGGAUUUUGU